rnacentral:rRNA from 1 species
CCUACGGGGGGCAGCAGUGAGGAAUAUUGGUCAAUGGGCGAGAGCCUGAACCAGCCAAGUCGCGUGAGGGAGUACUGCCCUAUGGGUUGUAAACCUCUUUUGUCGGGGAGCAAAAGCCGGACGUGUCCGGCUGUGAGAGUACCCGAAGAAAAAGCAUCGGCUAACUUCGUGCCGGCGGCCGCGGUUAUAGGGGGGAUGCGAGCUUUUACCGGUUUUAUUGGGUUUAAAGGGGGCGCAGGCGGAUUUUUAAGUCGGCGGGAAAAUCGUGGGGUUAAACCCCAGCCAGCCGUUGAAACUGGGGAGCUAGAGUGUGCGAGAGGUAGGCGGAAUGCGUGGUGUAGCGGUGAAAUGCAUAGAUAUGACGAAGAACCCCGAUUGCGAAGGCAGCAUACUGGUGCACAACUGACGCUGAGGCACGAAAGCGUGGGUAUCGAACAGGAUUAGAUACCCUGGUAGUC